AGUCACUGACAUUAGAUACCCGCGUAGUCCCAGCCGUAAACAAUGUGCGUUAGGUGUGUCGGUAACCACGCGUUACUGAUGCGCCGAAGAGAAAUCGUGAAACGCACCACCUGGGAAGUACGGUCGCAAGGCUGAAACUUAAAGGAAUUGGCGGGGAGCACCACAACAGGUGGAGCCUGCGGUUUAAUUGGAUUCAACGCCGGACAUCUCACCGGAUAAGACAGCUGAAUGAUUGUCAAUCUGAAGGUUUACAUGACUAGCUG
rnacentral:rRNA from 1 species